AGCCGUGUGUCCGAGUGGUUAGGAUCAGGUCUGCAAAACCUGCUACGGUAGUUCGAAUCUACCCACGGCGU
rnacentral:tRNA from 1 species